AUUCCGGUUGAUCCUGCCGGAGGCCAUUGCUAUCGGAGUCCGACUUAGCCAUGCUAGUUGCGCGAGUUCAGACUCGCAGCAGAUAGCUCAGUAACACGUGGCCAAGCUACCCUGCAGACAC
rnacentral:rRNA from 1 species